GAUGAACGCUGGCGGCGUGCUUAACACAUGCAAGUCGAACGAUGAAGCCCAGCUUGCUGGGUGGAUUAGUGGCGAACGGGUGAGUAACACGUGAGCAACCUGCCCCUGACUCUGGGAUAAGCGCUGGAAACGGCGUCUAAUACUGGAUAUGUCCCGUCACCGCAUGGUGUGCGGGUGGAAAGAUUUUUCGGUUGGGGAUGGGCUCGCGGCCUAUCAGCUUGUUGGUGAGGUAAUGGCUCACCAAGGCGUCGACGGGUAGCCGGCCUGAGAGGGUGACCGGCCACACUGGGACUGAGACACGGCCAAGACUCCUACGGGAGGCAGCAGUGGGGAAUAUUGCACAAUGGGCGGAAGCCUGAUGCAGCAACGCCGCGUGAGGGAUGACGGCCUUCGGGUUGUAAACCUCUUUUAGCAGGGAAGAAGCGAAAGUGACGGUACCUGCAGAAAAAGCACCGGCUAACUACGUG
rnacentral:rRNA from 1 species